rnacentral:rRNA from 1 species
UACAGAGGGGGCAAGCGUUAUUCGGAAUUAUUGGGCGUAAAGGGCGCGUAGGCGGCUUGGCAAGUGGAUGGUGAAAUCCCUCGGCUUAACCGAGGAACUGCCGUCCAAACUGCUUCGCUUGAGACCGGGAGAGGUGAGUGGAAUUCCCAGUGUAGCGGUGAAAUGCGUAGAUAUUGGGAGGAACACCAGUGGCGAAGGCGACGUCCUGGACCGGCAUUGACGCUGAGGCGCGAAAGCCAGGGGAGCAAACGGG